AUUGAACGCUGGCGGCAUGCCUUACUCAUGCAAGUCGAACGGUAACGGGCCUUCGGGUGCCGACGAGUGGCGAACGGGUGAGUAAUACAUCGGAACGUGCCCGAUCGUGGGGGAUAACGAGGCGAAAGCUUUGCUAAUACCGCAUACGAUCUACGGAUGAAAGCAGGGGACCGCAAGGCCUUGCGCGGACGGAGCGGCCGAUGGCAGAUUAGGUAGUUGGUGGGAUAAAAGCUUACCAAGCCGACGAUCUGUAGCUGGUCUGAGAGGAUGAUCAGCCACACUGGGACUGAGACACGGCCCAGACUCCUACGGGAGGCAGCAGUGGGAAUUUUGGACAAUGGGCGCAAGCCUGAUCCAGCCAUGCCGCGUGCAGGAUGAAGGCCUUCGGGUUGUAAACUGCUUUUGUACGGAACGAAAAGCCUUCUUUUAAUACAGGAGGGUCAUGACGGUACCGUAAGAAUAAGCACCGGCUAACUACGUG
rnacentral:rRNA from 1 species